rnacentral:lncRNA from 1 species
AUGAUUAAGACAGCUUUUGGGGGACAAUAUAGUCGGUACACUUUGCAUACAUAAAUUUGCAUUAAGUACAUACACACUGCCGGUAGCUAUAUACUCGUAUGUACAUACAUACAUACAUACAUACAUCCAUACAUGUUUGAUGGGCCAGCUCGGAUCUAGUUGGCCGUUUAGAACAUCCGACCCAAAUAAUGCGAAGACCAUAAAUGCAGAAUCAGCAAUCCCGAGCGACCGAAAGUCGUGCCAAAGGCAGAGCUUGUGAGAAAUUUGUUCCAAAGAAUGAAAUCAUUCUCUCACAAAGCUCCGAGCCAUCCAAAACAUGGCUGCUGCAGCUGACCUCAACCGACUCCUGAAGUACAUAUUUAAAGCAAACAUAACCAGAAGUAGCAAAGGAGAACAAUAUUUUAUGGAAAACCAUCUAAGUGAUCAGCAGAGUGCAGUGCGAAUUAACAGCAAUUAAAUUCAGUUCUAUUUGGUGCAGAAAAAAAUAUCACAAAGGAAAAGGAAAAAGACAAAAGUGAAUCAUCCAAAAGUAAAACAAAAGUAUGUUUGCGAUUGACUGUACCGAUCAGUACGAACUAUAUACUCGUAUGUGCAUACAUACAUACAUCCAUACAUGUUUGAUGGACCAGCUCGGAUCUGGUUGGCCAUUCAGAACAUCCGACCCAUUCAUACAACAAGCGCUGGACUUUUCCGACGAGCAGCUGAAGGAAGAAAUGAGAGAAUUUCCGCUAAUGAAUGUACAGUUGCGUGCAAACAGCGGAUCAAGCUAUGAGAAUCUAAGUGAAAAAUGUUGGCAUGUGAGUAUAAAUGUACUUAAAACAGAGAAGAAGUUGAUAAAAAAUAUCAAUAUGUCAAAUUUAAUAUGUUUUAAUAUGUGAGUUUCUAUGUUAUAUAACCAUAAAGCCAAUUAAGAAACAUAUGUAUGUAUUUAGUUCAUGCAAACCAUGGAAUCUAAUACAUUUCAAAAGGAAAAGUGAAAUAUAGUUAAUUUUGAAACAAAACGAGCCUUAGAAAAAUUCACAUGUGAUCAGGCAUACAUUAUGUGCUAGAACGGCAGACCAACCCAACAAGUUCGUCGCGAACGUAGGGCAAGUGGCAAACCAACAGACCGAGCAAGGCUCGAUCGCAUAUGCAUUAGCGUCGAACAUCAUACCGCUCAAUCGAGCCCAAGUUUAAGUAGUCGAAGCAACUACAAUAUGGCUGCGGCUGUCGUUGGUUCGGCUCAUGCGCAACAUGUCUCACACAGUCUCAAAUGCAACCACUCAUUUUAUUGAUCCGAGCAUUAUUUUAAAAAAUUUAACUAAUAUCGAUAUUUCAUUAUACAGGUAAAAUGGCAGCGAAGAACACAACACAACUCCACAAAACAGGAAAAUUAAUCGCAAAUACACAAAAUAAUACACAAACUUAUUAAAAGUAAAUAAGUAACUAUUUUGAAUAUCUUCAGAAACAAAACAAAAAUAUGGCAAAGAAAAAUAUUCUCAGCUACCUACGAAUAUUCCCAAGUUAUUUCUUCACCUUUUAAAUAAUAUUGUAAUAUCGGAAAGGCACGACGUGAUUGUUUUAAAUGGCGAAAAGUCUACCUAAAAUGCAUCCAUGUACAUAAAUUCGAGUUCCGAUUUGCUCCUAGGGCUCAUUGAGAUCAUUUGCAGAAUUCUAAUGGAAAAUUCACAUCUUAUGUUCGCAUCAUGGGGCUUUUCUUUUCUUUCAAACUCUAUCUAGAUGAUCUGUCCUACUCCUAUAUCUUUUUUUUUAUGAAAACAAAAACUGCUGGCUGGUGUAGAAAAGUUAUUAUUGUUAAAAUUGACAGAGAGACAUCCGUUUUUCUCGAGUUGGUUUUAUUGAAUUCUUUCAUGUAUAUUUCUUAAAUGCGGAGCGGCCGCAUUUAUGUGUUUUAUAUAUCGGUUGUAUAUAUGCCCAGCGCUGCAUUCAGACGGAUCAUGUUUGAGUGCCGUCGUGUUUGAGUGAAAGACGCCGACGAUACACUCUUGUCCGUCGCACUUAAGAUAUUUAUGAUUGCAUAAACACUGCAACAAAGGGUUACAGUACUCUUGGUACUCUUGGUACAGUGGGUAUUGCCUAUGUGUGCAUACUACAAUGCACUGGCACGUCUGUGCCGUUUGACUUUGGUUUUUUGAAUGUUUUAUUCAAUUUAUUCCUAUAGCUAAGUGGCAUGGCUGAUCGCCAGAUCUUUUGUCUAGGAUCUUCCCAUUCCAUCACGAGUGGAAACAAGUAUUCGAAUUGUUCUUGUCUUUCUCUUGAAUAAUUUAUUAUCAAAUUAAAGGUAUAUUUAUAUCAAAAUAAAGAGGGCGAGUUGCCCUUUUUAGCGUGGUAAUUUAUUAUAUGUUUUCUUGUAGAAUUAUUACAAUUUUAUUUACGUUGUUGCCUGAGUGCACUACAUUUUAUCAAGCCUGACAUAUAGUACUGGCAGGAACUGUAAUGCACUGACUAUGUUCAGUAUUUAGAGUAAAAUAUUGAUACCUCUUCCCACUCCUUCUUUUCUUUGGUCUCUUUCCGUAUGGGGAAGAUCACUGGCUUUUUGGUAUUUUUUUCCGCUUUGGUCUUAUUGAACGCAGGCCAGCGCAGUGGCUUACCAACGGACCGAGCGAGGUUUGAUGGGAUAGAUUAGCGUCGAACCAGUCGAUCGAGCCCAGGUUGGAGCACAAAGCUAAGCCAAGCGCGUGGGUUAGGUUCGAGCCGAAACAUUUUGGACACAAAUAUUUCCAAUAUAGAAUUCUAUUUGUGAAAUGUCUUUCCUGAUUGCUUUUAGAGCUGUUAAAUUGCCAUGUAAUUUAUGUUUUGUCUAAGUAAAUUAUUGCCAAUUUAGGCAUUGGCAUGAAUGCAGCCUUUAUUGCGUUUAGGUCCUCCGGUUGUUUCUUUAAUUUCUUGGGCAGUUGUGUGCCCGGUACUCAGUUAUUGCCAAGCCUCUAAAGCCUCCUUCAGACUGGGCUUGUCCCUGUAGGGACAGAGUCGUCCUAUGGGCCAAUGGGGCUCAGGCGGUGCCGGUCAUCGCACAGGUCAUCGAAGUACGCUCUGUGUGGCGUUGUCGGUGCCUUUUCAGGUCUUUAUCUUCUUUUUUGUUUUGUUUUUUGAAUGUAACUUUGCACCGCGAGAAAAGAAUCAGCUCUGAAGAAUCCACGUAUACAUUUUGUCGGUGGGUCGUGCUUCUAUUUUUAUUGUUUUUAUAUUAUUUCACUUGAUUUUCACAUUUUCACGGAUCUCGAAAUGUCACGGUCGCCAUGUAAUAACGGAAUAGGUAUUUAAAUUGUACCCCACUGGUACGGAUAAUAUUUUGUACACAAGAAUGAUGAAGAAAUAACAAAGGAAUUUAAUUUUAAUAAGUUAACAAUGUUUACUCUAAGCCCAAUGCAUAGCCCAAUGAGAUGACAAUUAUAAUUAGCUUUUGCCGCUGCUCAGGCACUUAGUAACACAAUUAAGAUGUCAGUUUUGUAAAUUACCAAAUGUCAAUAAGCAGUUUGUUGAUAAUUGUUGUAAAAUUGUGUAAAACAUUCUUACUAAGGCUAGAAACUUAAGCAUUAAUGUUAGCAAAAUGCCAAAAUGACACGGCGAUUGGUAGACAAUUCAACAAAGAAUGCUUCGGAGAGAAGGAAAGCAGCAAAUGAACCACAAAUAAACGCAAUAAAAACACAAUAAAAACACCAAUCUGAAGCUACACCAGACUCCAAAGCCAUAAGUGCAGGCACUUCUCGAUUCCCGACCACUCGCCCGACUAACUUUGAGGAAUAAACAAAUGUAUACACAGAACUGCAACGAAUCCAGUCGAAUCUUUGUUUAAAUGCCCCCACAUAGCUCGUGCUGCUCCUCGCAUUUAAAAGAAAAAGUUAUGAAAUCCAGAACCGAACCAUAACUGUCUUCAAAGCUUUAGCCAAAACUUAGUUCAAAGCGUAGCACAGAAGCGUCUGCUACUCUCUGGAGAUGCAGAGAGCGAAAGCUUGCAGCCCAAAGCUUUCAAUGUCUCGGACAGAGUCUCCACAGUGUAGAGUUGCUAGUGAGGCUGGAGAGCUGUUGGCGCGGGCUCCACUUUUGAAUAUUCUGC